GUCGCGUCUGCUGUUUUUGUGCCAUACUAUGCUGGUCUGGAUCUUCGUCGCUAUUUAUGGGGAUUCAAUACUUCUGUGAGAGAUUCAUCAGGUCUUGAUUUGGUUAAAUGGCUUGCAGGACAACCUGAAUGGAAAAGAAUGCGGGGUAAGGAUCAUUUCUUAAUUUCAGGUAGGAUUGCGAAGGAUUUCAGGAGAAAAUCAAAUAGGAUGUCUGAGUGGGGUAGCAAUUUCAGGUUCCUACCAGAGUCUGAGAACAUGUCAAUGUUAACAAUUGAAUCAGGGUCCUGGAAAAAUGAUUUUGCUGUACCAUACCCAACAUAUUUCCAUCCUUCAACAGAUAAUGAGGUUUUCCAAUGGCAGGAACUG
rnacentral:lncRNA from 1 species